rnacentral:rRNA from 1 species
GCUUGCUUCCCGCUGACGAGCGGCGGACGGGUGAGUAAUGCUUAGGAAUCUGCCCAGUAGUGGGGGAUAGCCCGGGGAAACCCGGAUUAAUACCGCAUACGUCCUACGGGAGAAAGCAGGGGAUCUUCGGACCUUGCGCUAUUGGAUGAGCCUAAGUCGGAUUAGCUAGUUGGUGGGGUAAAGGCCUACCAAGGCGACGAUCCGUAGCUGGUCUGAGAGGAUGAUCAGCCACAUCGGGACUGAGACACGGCCCGAACUCCUACGGGAGGCAGCAGUGGGGAAUAUUGGACAAUGGGGGCAACCCUGAUCCAGCCAUGCCGCGUGUGUGAAGAAGGCUUUCGGGUUGUAAAGCACUUUCAGUAGGGAGGAAAACCUUAUGGUUAAUACCCAUGAGGCUUGACGUUACCUACAGAAGAAGCACCGGCUAACUCCGUGCCAGCAGCCGCGGUAAUACGGAGGGUGCAAGCGUUAAUCGGAAUUACUGGGCGUAAAGCGCGCGUAGGUGGUUUGGUAAGCGAGAUGUGAAAGCCCCGGGCUUAACCUGGGAACGGCAUUUCGAACUGUCAGACUAGAGUGUGGUAGAGGGUAGUGGAAUUUCCUG